rnacentral:rRNA from 1 species
UACAUGUGGGGCAAGCGUUGUUCGGAAUUACUGGGCAUAAAGGGUGCGUAGGCGGCAUGUUAAGUCAGGGGUGAAAUCCCACGGCCCAACCGUGGAACUGCCUUUGAUACUGGCGUGCUUGAGUGCGUGAGGGGUAACCGGAACGAGUCGUGUAGCGGUGAAAUGCGUAGAUAUGACUCGGAAGGCCAAAGGCGAAGGCAGGUUACUGGUACGCAACUGACGCUGAGGCACGAAAGCGUGGGGAGCAAACAGGAUUAGAUCCCCUGGUAGUCCACGCCGUAAACGAUGAGCACUAGGUCGAUGCCACGCUACGUGGUGUCGGCCGCAGACAAUUUAUUAAGUGCUCCGCCUGGGGAGUAUGGUCGCAAGGCUGAA